AGCUUUCGGCGAGCUCCGACGCCGCGCAGCACGCCCCCCAACUCCCCAGAGUCCGCUCCUCCCUACCCUCCGGCCAGAUUCUCCGCUCCCGGCCUCUACCGCCCGCUCGAAACGCCACCCCCAUGGCUAGGGUUUCGGGCAGGGCUUCGCCGGCGCGUCUCCGGCGGCCCAGAUGCAGAUGGAGCACGCCAUGGGAAUUCCCCAUCCACCAUGGUCGCCGCCAUCAAGGGCUUCUUCACGGAGAUGUGGAGGACGCCAUGGACCUGCAGCUCCAAGGUCAACAGGGAGGAACCCUAGCCAUAAGCACCUCCUCGGAUGACGCCUCUGCUACACCAAGAUAGAGAUAUAUAUGAUAUCUACAUGGCUGCUAUGCUACUUUUUUUGUGUGAUGAAUCAUUGUGAGUUUCGAAGAAACUUCCAAUGUUACCUCCGCCAAGUUUGCCGGCAGAAGAAGCACAUCCAUUGAGCCGUUCAAUGUCGCCUGCGGUGGCUACACCAGAGGCAUGCAACAUUGUUGAAGGGCAAAGGUACUCUAAGAAGCUGAAUGAUAAACAGGUCACCAACAUACUUAGAGCUUCCUUGGGUUUGUGGAGGACAUGUCUGGUUUCACAAAGUCAGUUUCACUUUCACGAAGACAGUGGAAAUGCAGAAAAAGGAAAGCAUGUGGAUUUAGAAAUUUAAGCAUUGUAGAGCUCAAUUGAAAUGGAAAACGGGAUUUAUAGCAUCCAGCUAGAGUGGUGAUUCGAUUUUUGAUGAUUGGUACUUUGGUUGUGAGGUCGAUGAAGACAUGAGAUGGAUUUGGUCGGGGCAGUGGGUUUGCUCGCGAGGAGGUGGGAAGGACGAAGAUAGUGGAAGAAGCUUGAGAUGAUGAUGUUGUCGGUCGGGUGUCUUCUGCUACUGAAGUUUUACCACCAUCUGGUGGUGCUUGAGAGUAGAGACGGCAUACUUUCAUCAGCAGUGGCCAAACCCCCAGCACCGCUGGUGCUGUACACCCCUGUACCCCUCGACAUCCAGUGCCUCGCGUCUGCCCAACAUGAACACCUCCUCAAUAUGUACAUCUCUGAAUUUUGCCAUUGCUAGAGAAAGUAGAGCAUUGUUUUACUGUAGCUAUAAUUUGAGUUUUAGAAGAUAUACUCCUCUCUUUUUGACGUCAAUUUUUUCAGUUGACUUCUCCGUCCAGUCUCAUGUCUUUCUCUUUAGCAGGGAUAGGUGAGUACUAAACGAGUAAAAAUGUCCUUCUCUUUUUCAUAUUUCUUCCUUUUCCUUACUACUUUUGUGGCUCCAAAUCUCAUGAUGGCUCUAUGUCUGUUCUUUUUGUUGACAUGGAUUUUACCCUGAAAAUUUUCUUCUGAUCUACAAUGUUCUGCCAUCUAAAUUUGUCUGUAUAUUGUGAAUGAGUAGACACUGGUGUAGAAACCCAAUCGGAUGAAAUUACCGACUACAGAGAGGUGUAAUUAUUAAUUAAUUUCUUGCUUUAAAAGAUAUGCAACUAGCAGAGUUUCUUAUUUUUAUCAAUUGGAUUACGACUGAAGUGAAGAACUUAUGUGGACAGUCUGGCAGAUUUCAGUGGCAAGAUUUUUGUACAAUUACAGUAGCAGAUUUCAGAAAUUUGUAGAGCACAUGAUUUACAAGAACAAGAUAUUCUGUCAAGCCAUGGAUAUCAACAAUCAGUCAAGCAAAGAAAUAUUCAUGGGAGAUAUACAGGGAUCCACAAGAAUGUGCACCGUAUGGCACUACCCUUUUGUCAUCGAGCCACUAUCACAUUUUGGUCAGCAAUCAGUUCAAGCAAUUCUCAGCGCCAUUAGUCAGAAGUUGGAAUUUACAUCUAAACGAACAAUACAUCAAGCAACAGAAGAAAAAGUGGUCAUCUCUUUUUCUUGGCACCAAGAUGCCAUACAAGCAUUCAGACUUCGGAAUCGCACAAGCAGUUUGUAUAUAAAUGGUGUGCCAUAUCGUUUUAACAUGGACACUUCAAAAGAAUAUAUGCCAAGAGUGGUCGCUGAUUACUAUGAUUAUAGUAAUCCUAAAGAGUUUGCCUCUGUGUUUCUGUUCACAUGUAGCUGAUGUUUUAGCCUUUUAGAAGUAUAUGGCAUUGCUUAAAUUAUGUUUCUUUUGGCAACAAC